rnacentral:rRNA from 1 species
CCGUAGUUGAACCUGCGGAGGGAUCAUUA